rnacentral:rRNA from 1 species
UACGGAGGAUCCAAGCGUUAUCCGGAUUUAUUGGGUUUAAAGGGUGCGUAGGCGGAAUGAUAAGUCAGCGGUGAAAGCCUACAGCUUAACUGUAGAAUUGCCAUUGAUACUGUAGUCCUUGAGUGCAGGUGAAGAGGGCGGAAUGUGUUGUGUAGCGGUGAAAUGCUUAGAUAUAACACAGAACACCGAUUGCGAAGGCAGCUCUCUAAACUGCAACUGACGCUCAUGCACGAAAGCGUGGGGAGCAAACAGG